GCCAGCCCGCUCAGAAACUCAAAGGAAUUGACGGGGCCCGCACAAGCGGAGGAGCAUGUGGUUUAAUUCGAUGAUACGCGAGGAACCUUACCUGGGCUCGAACGUAAGAUGACUGUAGGUGAAAGCUUACAUCUCUUCGGAGCAUUUUACGAGGUGCUGCAUGGUUGUCGUCAGCUCGUGCCGUGAGGUGUCGGGUUAAGUCCCAUAACGAGCGCAACCCCUACCUUUAGUUGCCAUCAGGUUAAGCUGGGGACUCUAAAGGAACUGCCUACGCAAGUAGUGAGGAAGCGGGGAUGACGUCAAAUCAGCACGGCCCUUACGUCCAGGGCUACACACGUGCUACAAUGGCCGAUACAGAGGGCAGCUACCUGGUGACAGGAUGCAAAUCUCCAAAGUCGGUCUCAGUUCGGAUCGGAGUCUGCAACCCGACUCCGUGAAGUUGGAUUCGCUAGUAAUCGCGCAUCAGCCAUGGCGCGGUGAAUACGUUCCCGGGCCUU
rnacentral:rRNA from 1 species